rnacentral:rRNA from 1 species
AUUGAACGCUGGCGGCAUGCCUUACACAUGCAAGUCGAACGGCAGCACGGGAGCUUGCUCCUGGUGGCGAGUGGCGAACGGGUGAGUAAUACAUCGGAACGUACCCUGAAGUGGGGGAUAACGUAGCGAAAGUUACGCUAAUACCGCAUAUUCUGUGAGCAGGAAAGAGGGGGAUCGCAGGACCUCUUGCUUUAGGAGCGGCCGAUGUCGGAUUAGCUAGUUGGUGAGGUAAAGGCUCACCAAGGCGACGAUCCGUGGCGGGUCUGAGAGGAUGAUCCGCCACGCUGGGACUGAGACACGGCCCAGACUCCUACGGGAGGCAGCAGUGGGGAAUUUUGGACAAUGGGCGCAAGCCUGAUCCAGCCAUGCCGCGUGAGUGAGGAAGGCC